GUGGGGAAUUUUGGACAAUGGGGGCAACCCUGAUCCAGCCAUUCCGCGUGAGUGAAGAAGGCCUUCGGGUUGUAAAGCUCUUUCGGCAGGAACGAAACGGUGAGCUCUAACAUAGCUCGCUAAUGACGGUACCUGAAGAAGAAGCACCGGCUAACUACGUGCCAGCAGCCGCGGUAAUACGUAGGGUGCGAGCGUUAAUCGGAAUUACUGGGCGUAAAGCGUGCGCAGGCGGUUGUGUAAGACAGGUGUGAAAUCCCCGGGCUUAACCUGGGAACUGCGCUUGUGACUGCACGGCUAGAGUAUGGCAGAGGGGGGUGGAAUUCCACGUGUAGCAGUGAAAUGCGUAGAGAUGUGGAGGAACACCGAUGGCGAAGGCAGCCCCCUGGGCCAAUACUGACGCUCAUGCACGAAAGCGUGGGGAGCAAACAGGAUUAGAAACCCCAGUAGUCC
rnacentral:rRNA from 1 species